rnacentral:rRNA from 1 species
UACAGAGGGCUCAAGCGUUGUUCGGAUUUAUUGGGCGUAAAGGGUGCGCAGGUGGCGCCGUAAGUCGGGUGUGAAAUUUCGGAGCUUAACUCCGAAACUGCAUUCGAUACUGCGGUGCUUGAGGACUGGAGAGGAGACUGGAAUUCAUGGUGUAGCAGUGAAAUGCGUAGAGAUCAUGAGGAAGACCAGUGGCGAAGGCGGGUCUCUGGACAGUUCCUGACACUGAGGCACGAAGGCCAGGGGAGCAAACGGG